CGCUAACAAUGCCAAGCUAGCGAUGCCAAGCUAGCGACGCCAAGCCGGAGAUGCCAGCUCGGAAGCGACGGGACUUCGGUCAAAGUUCUUCAGCCGGUAAUGGCAGCAGGACCGCUGGACGUCAUCGAUUAGGGACACGGGGGUCCGGCAUGGGCUUCGGGUGUGUGGGGUGAGUCCGAGGUUGUCCCAGCGUCCAUUUGCAUCAAUAACUGCCUGCUUCACGCCAAUACACGCGUUGCUGUCCUUACACUCCCACCAGCCCUUCCAUCUACACGCACCCGUAUGAAACGGUAUGUCUUGGAUGACGUCAGCCAUGUUGUUGUUUUUUUUGCAAUCUUUUCUUUUCAAUAGCCCCUUUUCCUCCGUGGGAACGUCCAUAUUUACCUCCGUCCGUACCGUCUACCUGGGUUAAAAAGUUCUUCCAAGCAACGCUGUCCUUUUAGCAACGUUCCAGGACGUGUUGCGGGGUGGGCCGUGCUGAUGAAUGUUGAUUGGUUGUACACACUUUGUUUCUACUCAGCCGCCAUCUUGAAAGAAGCAGUUUCAUGUAGAUGAGCAAAGCUACUUUGUGCAAAGCAAUACCAGAGCAAUAUAUUCAGCAUGAGGUUGAGACAUCUGUGAUUUUUAUGGAGACUGUGAAAGAAUAGCCAAGAGGAUGGGGGAUCGAAAUGUAAGAUUGGUGAAAAUCUGAAGUGAAGUGAUAUGAUCCAAGCCGCCAACCAGCCGUAUGAACACCAGCUGAGGACUCGGCAUCUCCUUCCUUGCUUGGCGAUGGUGGUGGAAGCAGUGAACAAGUGGAAUGAAGCAGAAAAGGAGCAUCAGGACUGGUUCCACCCCCUCUCGGAGAUCAUCAUUGACAUAACUAUUGGACACUGUGGACAUAAACCUUUGCCAACAAGAUGCUUAAAAAAUGAAAUGUCAUUCACUGACUUCUUUUGUAACUUUUUGAUUUCUAUUUGAUCUACUGACACUUGAAUGAAGACAAAAACAAAGCUAAUUUUGACUGUUUCAGGUUGCAUCAGUGUAGAAAUAUACCACUUCCACAGUUGAAUAAACUUUCCUGAACUUUAAAAUAAUAUAACUACACAGGGACCUUUUACUUCCAUUACGAGGAACUAGUAAGGGGUUAGGGUUCCUGAAACUUUGGUGGAAAAGGGGCUCUUGUACGACAUGUUCCAUGUUUUUAUUUGCUUUAAUUUGUGAGAAUAAGCUAGCUAUAAAGGACUGGUGGAUGGACAAGCUUGAUCACCUUUUGAAAUCGUCCUGGUCCUUUCACCCCUGAGAAAGCAUUGGCCAGAUAAAAGUGAACACAAAGAAGUACAGAAUUAUGAACUG